AACGAACGCUGGCGGCAGGCUUAACACAUGCAAGUCGAGCGCCCCGCAAGGGGAGCGGCAGACGGGUGAGUAACACGUGGGAACAUACCCAUCUCUGCGGAACAACUCCGGGAAACUGGAGCUAAUACCGCAUACGCCCUUCGGGGGAAAGAUUUAUCGGAGAUGGAUUGGCCCGCGUUGGAUUAGCUAGUUGGUGGGGUAAAGGCCUACCAAGGCGACGAUCCAUAGCUGGUCUGAGAGGAUGAUCAGCCACAUUGGGACUGAGACACGGCCCAAACUCCUACGGAAGGCAGCAGUGGGGAAUAUUGGACAAUGGGCGCAAGCCUGAUCCAGCCAUGCCGCGUGAGUGAUGAAGGCCUUAGGGUUGUAAAGCUCUUUCACCGAUGAAGAUAAUGACGGUAGUCGGAGAAGAAGCCCCGGCUAACUUCGUGCCAGCCGCCGCCGUAAGAC
rnacentral:rRNA from 1 species